UGUUGGCGUGGGUAAUUCAUAACCACGGCGUCGUCUGCUGUAUAUUUUAGGCUGCUCGCUGUUAAACGUAUUCAAAGUUCGAAUGAAAAUGGAUUUAUCUGAGGAAGAAAUGCUUGAAUUUUUUGAUGACAUGAGUUAUAUAGUACUGAUUGCUUAUUAAAAUAGGUUUUGAUCCUGAAAGAAUGAAUAGUAAGAGUUUAUAGUAGACUACCAUAGUUUAAUAUGUGAAAGUAGAGACCGUUUUUGGUUUGCUAAAAAUUUGCUUGAUGACGAGAUAGAAGGAAAAUGGGGCAUAGGCUAUCUGUAGUAGAAAUCGACUAAGGAAGUGUUAAUUGCAAGAAGACACUGCAGACUGCAUUGAAUGAUUUGAACAUCACAUUAAAUCAGGAAUCAUCACUAUGGGCAGUUGUUAAAGCGGAUAUGAUGGAAAUUUCUAGAGAAGAAUCCAGAAGUAAAAUGACAGCUAAAUACAUUGAAAAGUUGCAAAAGCCAUAGCCCAUAUUCAAACAAUUCUGAAAUCUCUCAUUUGGAUCUAAAACGCAUAAUCAAAACUGCAGCACCGAAAAUUAUAAAAAAAGCGUUUCAAGUAACUGAGCCAUUCAUGCAAACGUCAAUAACCAAAGGCGACAAAAAGGUGAUUGAGUACCUAGCUGGGGGAUUGCUAAAAUGGGGAAUAAAGCGUCUAGGUGGAGAAGGUGCUUUCUGGUGCCAAAACCAAGCUUCGAGACUCGAUCUUCCCAAUUGCUUUGAAGAGCGCAAUAGAGGCGGUAUCAUAUCAGCAUCCGAAACAUUUGUUCUCUUCCUAAUCUCUGUGGGAAGCUAAUUCCUGUCUCAAGUAUGCAAAAGGGUAAUAGAUAAACGGCGUAUUAUCGGAAAUAUUGACAUGGACCCUUUCAGCCCCAAUGAAUCCAGUAUUCUGACCCUUCUUGUGAGAAGAUUUAUUCGAACAAGGACCCAUAUCCAUUGCAAGACUGAACUGUAGAACAAAGUUUCGAAAAGAAAAUAUGGACCCAAAUCAUAUGGACUUCGCGAUGGUUUGAAAAAUUGUUUUUCCAAAUAAUCUCAUUAUUACACUAUAAUAAAAAUUAGCCAACAAAACAA